rnacentral:rRNA from 1 species
UGCCCGGUCCAACGAUCUUGCGUGCGGAAUGCUGGCUCUAUGGGUUGUAAACUACUUUUAUGCAUGGAAAAAAAGUGCCAUGGUUGGCAUCCUGCCGGUCCUGUUAUGAGGAGCCAGCCGGGGUUAUGCGGAAGCAGCCGGGGUAAUCCGGAUGUAGCGAGCUUUAUCGGUUUGUAGUGGGUUUUAAGGGUUCGUAGGUAGGUCUUUAAGUUAAUCGGUAAAUCUGGCGUGUCAACCGUAUCUCUGGCAUGUAACCUGGAUCUGUGGAAUGUAAAUGGGGUCAGCGGAAUGCAGCAUGAAGCGGCAGAAUACCAAGAGAUACUGCAGCUCACCGAUAGCGAACGCAGCUUGACGACUCAUUCCGGUCGCUGAUGUCAGCAACCGAGGCUCAAGUACUGCACUCGGUACUCAAAGUUAUAGGAAUGGACGGAAAGUUAAAGGAAUUGACGGAAACUCAAAGGAAUUGACGG